GACGAACGCUGGCGGCGUGCCUAAUACAUGCAAGUAGAACGCUGAAGGAGGAGCUUGCUUCUCCGGAUGAGUUGCGAACGGGUGAGUAACGCGUAGGUAACCUGCCUGGUAGCGGGGGAUAACUAUUGGAAACGAUAGCUAAUACCGCAUAACAGUAGAUAUUGCAUGAUAUCUGCUUGAAAGGUGCAAUUGCAUCACUACCAGAUGGACCUGCGUUGUAUUAGCUAGUUGGUGAGGUAACGGCUCACCAAGGCGACGAUACAUAGCCGACCUGAGAGGGGGAUCGGCCACCCUGGGACUGAGACACGGCCCAGACUCCUACGGGAGGCAGCAGUAGGGAAUCUUCGGCAAUGGGCGGAAGUCUGACCGAGCAACGCCGCGUGAGUGAAGAAGGUUUUCGGAUCGUAAAGCUCUGUUGUAAGAGAAGAACGAGUGUGAGAGUGGAAAGUUCACACUGUGACUGUAUCUUACCAGAAAGGGACGGCUAACUACGUG
rnacentral:rRNA from 1 species